UCGAGAAUAAUUCGCAAUGGGCGAAAGCCUGACGAUGCGACGCCGUGUGAACGAUGAAGGCCUUCGGGUUGUAAAGUUCUGUCGACCUGGAGCAAGAGUUGCAUGUGAAUAACAUGUAACUUUGAUAGUACAGGAGGAGGAAGCACCGGCUAACUCCGUGCCAGCAGCUGCGGUAAUACGGAGGGUGCAAGCGUUAGUCGGAAUUACUGGGCGUAAAGGGUGCGUAGGCGGGGAGAUAAGUCAUAUGUGAAAUUCCAAAGCUCAACUUUGGAGCUGCAUCUGAUACUGUCUUUCUUGAGGAAUGGCGGAGAAAACGGAAUUCCACGUGUAGCGGUGAAAUGCGUAGAUAUGUGGGAGAACACCUGUGGCGAAAGCGGUUUUCUAGCUUAAUCCUGACGCUGAGGCACGAAAGCAAGGGGAGCAAACAGG
rnacentral:rRNA from 1 species